rnacentral:rRNA from 1 species
UACGUAGGUGGCAAGCGUUGUUCGGAAUUAUUGGGCGUAAAGGGCGCGUAGGCGGGCCAGCCAGUCUGUGGUGAAAGCCUCCAGCUUAACUGGAGAAGUGCCGUGGAUACUGCUGGCCUCGAGGAGGAUAGGGGCAUCUGGAACGGUCGGUGGAGCGGUGAAAUGCGUUGAUAUCGACCGGAACUCCGGUGGCGAAGGCGAGGUGCUGGGUCCUUUCUGACGCUGAUGCGCGAAAGCCAGGGGAGCAAACGGG